UACGUAGGGGGCUAGCGUUGUCCGGAAUCAUUGGGCGUAAAGCGCGUGUAGGCGGUCCGGUAAGUCCGGCGUGAAAGGCUUGGGCUCAACCCGAGAUGGCCGUUGGAAACUGUCGUUCUUGAGGGUCGAAGAGGAGAGUGGAAUUCCUGGUGUAGCGGUGAAAUGCGUAGAGAUCAGGAGGAACACCCAUGGCGAAGGCAGCUCUCUGGUCGACCUCUGACGCUGAGACGCGAAAGCGUGGGGAGCGAACGGG
rnacentral:rRNA from 1 species